rnacentral:rRNA from 1 species
UACGUAGGGGGCAAGCGUUGUCCGGAUUUACUGGGCGUAAAGAGCGUGUAGGCGGCCAAACAGGUCCGUUGUGAAAACUGGAGGCUUAACCUCCAGACGUCGACGGAAACCGUAUGGCUAGAGUCCGGAAGAGGAGAGUGGAAUUCCUGGUGUAGCGGUGAAAUGCGCAGAUAUCAGGAAGAACACCGAUGGCGAAGGCAGGUCUCUGGGCAUUAACUGACGCUGAGGAGCGAAAGCAUGGGGAGCGAACAGG